rnacentral:rRNA from 1 species
GUGGAUUAGAUACUCGGGUAGUCCACGCCCUAAACGAUGAAUACUCGAUGUUGGCGAUAUACGGUCAGCGUCUAAGCGAAAGCGUUAAGUAUUCCACCUGGGGAGUACGCCCGCAAGGGUGAAACUCAAAGGAAUUGACGGGGGCCCGCACAAGCGGAGGAGCAUGUGGUUUAAUUCGAUGAUACGCGAGGAACCUUACCCGGGCUUGAAAGUUAGUGAAUGUGACAGAGACGUCACAGUCCUUCGGGACACGAAACUAGGUGCUGCACGGCCGUCGCCAGCU